rnacentral:rRNA from 1 species
AUUGAACGCUGGCGGCAUGCUUUACACAUGCAAGUCGAACGGCAGCGCGGGGGCAACCCUGGCGGCGAGUGGCGAACGGGUGAGUAAUGCAUCGGAACGUAUCCUGUAAUGGGGGAUAACGUAGCGAAAGUUACGCUAAUACCGCAUACGCUCGAGAGAGGAAAGUGGGGGAUCGCAAAGACCUCACGUUAUAGGAGCGGCCGAUGUCCGAUUAGCUAGUUGGUGGGGUAAAGGCCUACCAAGGCGACGAUCGGUAGCUGGUCUGAGAGGAUGAUCAGCCACACUGGGACUGAGACACGGCCCAGACUCCUACGGGAGGCAGCAGUGGGGAAUUUGGACAAUGGGCGAAAAGCCUGAUCCAGCCAUGCCGCGUGCGGGAAG